GAGGUUGAAUAGAGAAAGGGAGAGGGAUAUGAUGGAUAGAGAGAGAGGUUGAAUAGAGAAAGGGAGAGGGAUAUGAUGGAUAGAGAGAGAGGUUGAAUAGAGAAAGGGAGAGGGAUAUGAUGGAUAGAGAGAGAGGUUGAAUAGAGAAAGGGAGAGGGAUAUGAUGGAUAGAGAGAGAGGUUGAAUAGAGAAAGGGAGAGGGAUAUGAUGGAUAGAGAGAGAGGUUGAAUAGAGAAAGGGAGAGGGAUAUGAUGGAUAGAGAGAGAGGUUGAAUAGAGAAAGGGAGAGGGAUAUGAUGGAUAGAGAGAGAGGUUGAAUAGAGAAAGGGAGAGGGAUAUGAUGGAUAGAGAGAGAGGUUGAAUAGAGAAAGGGAGAGGGAUAUGAUGGAUAGAGAGAGAGGUUGAAUAGAGAAAGGGAGAGGGAUAUGAUGGAUAGAGAGAGAGGUUGAAUAGAGAAAGGGAGAGGGAUAUGAUGGAUAGAGAGAGAGGUUGAAUAGAGAAAGGGAGAGGGAUAUGAUGGAUAGAGAGAGAGGUUGAAUAGAGAAAGGGAGAGGGAUAUGAUGGAUAGAGAGAGAGGUUGAAUAGAGAAAGGGAGAGGGAUAUGAUGGAUAGAGAGAGAGGUUGAAUAGAGAAAGGGAGAGGGAUAUGAUGGAUAGAGAGAGAGGUUGAAUAGAGAAAGGGAGAGGGAUAUGAUGGAUAGAGAGAGAGGUUGAAUAGAGAAAGGGAGAGGGAUAUGAUGGAUAGAGAGAGAGGUUGAAUAGAGAAAGGGAGAG